UGUUGAUGGUGUCCUUCGAGCCUGC
rnacentral:piRNA from 1 species